GCACUCUUAGCUCAGUUGGUUAGAGCAUCUGUCUUAUGAGCAGAAGGUCGUGGGUUCGAACCCCACUGAGUGUA
rnacentral:tRNA from 1 species